rnacentral:lncRNA from 1 species
CUGAAACACUAAAGCAAGAUAUGAAAGUUAUUAAUCUUGAAUUAUUUUCCAAUUCACUUUCCAGAUGUUGUGCUGUGCUACUCUGUGAUGCACCAGAAAGUUGAAAAUGUGAGAUUUACCUGUGCUGAUUCACAUCACCCGCAGUCAGUAUCUAUCUACAAAGACCUGCCAGUUGCCCCUUCAUCUGGAGGAAACCCAAAGCAGUCAAAAGGAAAUGCUUCUCAAAGGAUUAAGAACCCUGAAUUGGAUAGUUUAGCACAGGUAUGAGUGGAAGAAAGGAGUCACAGAUCUGGACUAAUACCGUACCUGAGUCCAGAAUAGAUUUUAAGGAUUCCAAGUGCCUGAAGAGGACACAUGCAGGUAAAUAACAAUA